rnacentral:rRNA from 1 species
CUUGGAGGAAUGUAUAGCAAUUGCUAUUUGCAUUAAAAGUUUUAGUGUAAAAUCGACUUUGUCGAAUAAAAUUCUGGGUAGAAUUAUGAUAAUGACAUUACCUACUCAUAAGUCUUGACCAAAUUACGUGCCAGCAGUCGCGGUAAUACGUAGAAGACAAGUGUUAUUCAUCUUUAAUAGGUUUAAAGGGUACUUAGACGGUAAAUAAAGCCUCCAAAAGGUACUAGUUUGCUAGAGUUUUAUAUGAAGGAGUUUUAAAGUACUACUGGUGUAGAGAUGAAAUUCAGUUAUACCUUACAUGGCACAGGUUAAGGCGAAAGCAUCUUCUUAUGUAAAAACUGACGUUGAAGGACGAAGGCUUUGUGUCUCGAACAGGAUUAGAUACCCUAGUAGUCUAAGCAGAAAAUGAUGAAUGUCAUAGAUUAGAUUUAAUUUGAUCUGUAAAUGAAAGUGUAAGCAUUCCACCUCAAGAGUAAUUUGGCAACAUUGGAACUGAAAUCAUUAGACCGUUUCUGAAACCAGUAGUGAAGUAUGUUGUUUAAUUUGAUAAUCCGCAAAAAACCUUACCACAAUUUGAAUAGAUAUAUUUUAUCAUACAAGCGUUGCACGGCUGUCUUCAGUUAAUGUCGUGAGACUUUGGUUAGUUCCAUUAAAUUAACGUAAACCCUUACUUUAUUUUUAUAUAAAGUAGUUCACCGCUAUAUUGGAUGUGAUAAUAGGGAUCAAGACAAGUCAUCAUGACCUAAAUAUUGUGGGCU